rnacentral:rRNA from 1 species
UGGGGAAUUGUUCACAAUGGGCGCAAGCCUGAUGACGCAACGCCGCGUGGGGGAUGAAGGUCUUCGGAUCGUAAACCCCUGUCGAAUGGGACGAAUAGCUCGCGAAUUAAUACCUCGUGGGAAUGACGGUACCGUUAAAGGAAGCCACGGCUAACUCUGUGCCAGCAGCCGCGGUAAUACAGAGGUGGCAAGCGUUGUUCGGAAUUACUGGGCGUAAAGGGCGCGUAGGCGGCCAUCUAAGUCAGACGUGAAAUCCCUCGGCUUAACCGGGGAACUGCGUCUGAUACUGGAUGGCUUGAGGUUGGGAGAGGGAUGCGGAAUUCCAGGUGUAGCGGUGAAAUGCGUAGAUAUCAGGAGGAACACCGGUGGCGAAGGCGACAUCCUGGACCGGUAUUGACGCUGAGGCGCGAAAGCCAGGGGAGCAAACAGGAUUAGAUACCCUUGUAGUCCCUGAGCGGGCUGGCAAGGCGCAU